AAUCACUUAUAUUUUUCUCGUAUGCAGAAAGGUUCAAGGAACACAAGAUUUUUUUCCCACUCAAUUAGGAUCAAAAUUCAAUUUUAUAGAGCCGAAAGAAGUUUUAGCUGACGGCGGCUCCCUGACCCAAACCAGGUCGAUCCCAGCUUGGCAACAUUGCGAUUCGAGUUCGUUGCCGACCCACCUACGAUCAUCAACCAUAAAAUCGCUUUUUACAUUCAAUAUGAGCGAAAGGACAACUAGCACCAGACUAUUUGCACAAAAAAAUCUUAUUAU